CCAGAAAAAUAAACUUGUUUUCCUGGCACUAUAGUGCCCUGAGGGUGCCCCCACCCUCAGGGUCCCACUCCCGUGGCGCUGAAGGGGGAGAAAGGGGUUAAUCCCUUACCUUUAUUCCGCUGGGACUCUCCUCCCUCUUCUGACGUCCCUGGCUGAAUGCGCAUGCGCGGCAAGAGCUGCGAGCGCAUUCAGCCAGUCCAUA